AACGAACGCUGGCGGCAUGCCUAACACAUGCAAGUCGAACGAGACCUUCGGGUCUAGUGGCGCACGGGUGCGUAACGCGUGGGAACCUGCCCUUAGGUUCGGAAUAACUCCCCGAAAGGGGUGCUAAUACCGGAUAAUGUCUUCGGACCAAAGAUUUAUCGCCUUUGGAUGGGCCCGCGUUGGAUUAGCUAGUUGGUAGGGUAAAAGCCUACCAAGGCGACGAUCCAUAGCUGGUCUGAGAGGAUGAUCAGCCACACUGGGACUGAGACACGGCCCAGACUCGUACGGGAGGCAGCAGUGGGGAAUAUUGGACAAUGGGCGAAAGCCUGAUCCAGCAAUGCCGCGUGAGUGAUGAAGGCCUUAGGGUUGUAAAGCUCUUUUACCCGGGAUGAUAAUGACAGUACCGGGAGAAUAAGCUCCGGCUAACUCCGU
rnacentral:rRNA from 1 species